GUCAAACGAGGGGAAAAACUACGCAGACUCGUCGCAUUAUUUCAAUCCUCUCCAGUCGGAUCUACCCCAAAAUUCCGAUUCCCCAUUUUUCCACAAAGAAUCAAGAUACCCGACCCUAGAUUUCCUCCGGCGGAGAGAGAAACCCAAGUCUACCAUGGCCACCGACUCCCAAGAACCCACUCCUCGCAAGCACCGCCGUUCCUCCUCCGCCGAAGAUUCCGAUCAGCCGUCCAAACGCCGCAAGCACCGCCACCACCGCCACCACCGCCGAAAGCACGGUGAGGACGAUGCCAAAAUCGAGGAAGGAGAGGAGAUUUCUCUUCUUCCUUCUCCUCUGCCUCUUUCUAUUCUUUCGGGAUCGAAUUCUCGACCUUGUUACGAUGAUAUGGAAGAAGGAGAGAUUCUCGAAGACGAGGGCUUUGGCGGUGGUGCUGUUGUGAAUAUGGUCAAGAACAGAACUGAUUCUGAUCAUCACAACAUGGAAGUUCAUGGAGCUCAAAAUGAACUUGGACUUAAUUCUAGUGUUCCACCGGAAGGCAAAUUGGAUAGAAGUGGUAGAAAUCCAAAGUCAUUUGAUGAGGACAAGAGCGAGUCGAGGAUUUAGUGAUUAAUGCGACACUGGAUAAGUAUGUAAAUAUGAAUGAUGGUAGUAAAACCAAUAACGCGGUUGUUUUUGGGGGGAAUUCAAGUUCUGAGCAUUACAAUAAUGGGGAUAUUGGACGGGAAUCCCUUAAAGAAGACUCUUGGCCACUUACAGGAUCCCAGUCUCCUGUUAAAGGAAGUUGCAAGCAAAAAAGCUACUUUGAUGAUGAAAUCAAUUUAAGAGAUCGGAGAAAGUCAUCGUCAACAGAAAACAAAAGGGACAGACACCAAAAAACACCACGCUUGCUUUCCCAUGACCGAUACCAUGAUGAGGAUCGUAGAAGGAAUAGAUCGAAGUCACAUGAUCAUGCAAGGGAAAGGUCUCGGUCACGAAGUGUUUUAGAAGAGGCUUCUCUUAGGAAAACAACACUGCACAAUGAUGCUGCACAUUAUAUGGGUAACAGAACUAUUAGUGAUUCAGAUGAUGAUAAAAUGAUUGGACGCAAUCGGGACAACCGACAUGACAGUAGAGAUUUGCUGACAGAUAAAGAAAGGGAACGUAGUUCUAGUUAUAGCAGAUAUUCUAAGCGAGGUGAAAGACACCACAACCAAGAGGCUCAGGACAGGGAGCGGGAGGGGAGUUGGGAGACUCGGGAGAGAGAAAGGGAUGUAAGGGUGAUGGAGAGAGAUAGAAAAAGAGAGAGGGAACAGGACCGAGACAGGGAGAGGACCAAGGAGAGAGAUAGGGAGAGAGAAAGAGAGAGAGGUAGGGAUAAGGAUAGGGUUAGGGAUAGGGAGAGGAGGACAGAGAGGGAAUGGGAAAGGGAGAGUGGAAGGGAUAGCAUUAGAGACAGAGAAAGGGAUAAAGAGAGUGAUAGGGUUAGCAGGCACCGUAAUUGUGAAAAAUAUGUUGAUGAUUGUUGUGAUGAUCGAGAUAGGUAUUACGAUUACAAGCGAUGGAGACAUGAUGAAAAUGACAACAGGGCCAGAUCCAGGAAAAAUGAUCCGGAAAAAAACUAUACUGCUAAAAUUGAUUCUUUGGGUGAGGAUGAAGAGAAAUUUAAAAGAGAUGAUAAUGAACAAGAGGAGUAUCAGGAGAGGAUUGCAUUGCAACUUAUAGAUGGGGAAGAUGAAGAUCUUGACAGAAUUAAGGAGGAGAGUAGAAGGCGAAUGCAGGCUAUCCUUGAAAAAUAUAAAAUUCAGAAGUUACAGCAACAACAUGAGCCUGAUUUGUUGGAUAAGGAUAAGGAGCAUGUUGAACAAACUUCUCAGCCAGCUACUGCUCCAGAAACUCUUGAUGUUAGGCAUGAAGGGGUUGGUACCUCUGUUGCUGAUCCAUCAUUUUCUAUGGGGAAAUCCCCACCACAAAAUGGGAUUUAUGCUUUUGACAAGACUUCUGGUGCUGGGGGACUGGGAGAGGGUACUCCUAAGAGUGAGAGGUCAGACGAUAUGUUUUGUGAUGACAUUUUUGGAGAGUCACCUGCUGGAGUACGUAAAACAGGGAAGGGAGAUGGUUUAACAAUUGAAAGGAGUGGUCUUCAUGACAAUUGGGAUGAUGCAGAAGGGUAUUACAGCUACCGGUUUGGGGAAAUACUUGAUGGCCGAUAUGAAGUUACUGCUGCUCAUGGGAAAGGUGUCUUUUCAACAGUAGUUCGUGCAAAGGAUCUUAAGGCUGGACCUGGUGAUCCAGAAGAUGUGGCAAUAAAAAUUAUACGUAAUAAUGAGCAUAUGCAUAAGGCUGGUAAGGAGGAAUUGAUCAUAUUGAAGAAGCUAGUUGGUGCUGACCCAGAGAACAAGCGCCAUUGUGUUUGUUUCCUUUCAUCUUUUAAGUACCGGAAUCAUCUUUGUUUAGUUUUUGAAUCCCUUCAUAUGAAUCUACGUGAGGUCUUAAAGAAGUUUGGCCGGAACAUUGGACUUAAACUAACGGCAGUGAGAGCAUAUGCAAAACAAGUUUUUAUUGCGCUAAAGCAUCUCAGAAACUGCGGCGUUCUUCACUGUGAUAUAAAGCCGGAUAAUAUGCUGGUGAACGAAGCAAAAAAUGUGCUGAAACUUUGUGAUUUUGGUAAUGCCAUGUUUGCUGGUAAAAAUGAAAUUACGCCUUACCUUGUGAGCCGCUUUUAUCGUGCUCCUGAGAUAAUCCUGGGUUUGACUUAUGAUCAUCCAAUGGAUAUUUGGUCAGUUGGCUGCUGUUUAUUUGAGCUCUAUACAGGGAAAGUUCUUUUUCCCGGUGCUACAAACAAUGACAUGCUUCGCCUCCAUAUGGAAUUAAAAGGUCCAUUCCCGAAGAAGAUGCUUCGAAAGGGAGGUUUCACUGAGCAGCAUUUUGAUCAGGAUUUGAAUUUUCUGGCCACAGAAGAGGAUCCUGUCACAAAGAAGAUUAUAAGGAGGAUGAUCUCUAGCUUCAAGCCAAAAGAUAUAGGUGCAAUUGUCACAAGCUCUCCUGGCGAGGAUCUGAAGAUGUUAGCCAAUUUCAGAGAUCUCCUAGAAAAAGUUUUUGUGUUGGAUCCAGAUAAGAGGAUAACAGUUACACAGGCAUUGACCCAUCCAUUCAUCACGGGCAAGUGAACAAUGAUGCUGAUUUUCUGACUCCAGACACGCUGUUGCGCUAGCUAUUUUUACGUUAUGACUAAAUUUAUAUUGAAAUAUCUAAUCACUGGGCAUUUAUCUGUCUUUAUCUUCUCUAUGCUGGCUAAAGACCUCUGGGAACAAGUCUUGGCGUGGUGGAAAUUGAAAGAGAUGAUGUUUGAUCUGGAGGCCUCUUGGUGAUUCUUUCAGUGGAAUGUUUUCUGUCUCUAUUGAGUUCUUCCAGUGCUAUGAGGCAACCAUUCAGUGCUUUAUAUGCAUAAAAGGCACUCUAAAAAGGUACCAUGGUUUGUUUAUUAGGAGCUUUUUGUGACACCCGUGAAGCUACAUUGUUUGAUUUCUGUUUUGAAAUUGUAUGUUUCUUUUUUAUAAGCUCUUUGUGGUAGUGAUUGGAAUUCAUACAACCAUAAUUCACUACUUGGCAGGAGAAUUGCUUCGGGUCACACCUUGAUUUAUGUGAAUGUGUGUUACAUAUUAUUGGUGAUCAAUUGCUUGUACUUUGUAGCAUCUUAGGAGUAUGAAUAGGGUAAUGCUUGCAUGGAUCUGCUGAACUUUCUCACUAGAGUUGAUAUGUUUGCUGGUUGGACAUCUUAUCAUGUUCUUAGUUGCAUGAUUUAUUAUAUUCAAGUUUAAAUAUGUACAUUUACUUGUGGUGAGGUUGCCGUCAUAAUGAGAGAGCUGUCUAUCAGUGCUUGCUAUGUUUGCUUCUGUUAUUUGUGUUUUUAAAUAAAUACAUAUUCUAAUGAAGUUGCAUUACGUCUGAUCCAUGGUCUGGUCAUUUCGGAGGAGUUUGCACUGGCGGUAUAUUGCUGCAGCCUUGAAGUGAAAGUAGUAUUCAGUGAGUAGGAAUUGGCCAAGCCAAUUCAAGUUAAAGCUUGGGCUCAGGGUUGAGCUUUGUGUAGAUCUCUGUGCCCUCUGGGAUGGGCUUGGACAGAUCUCCAACCGAUCAAACCCACCCUAGUUGCCUCUUUAAUCAACAUAUUGUCCAUAGUUCAUUGUGAUGAUUUUGGCUUCAGUUAUUGUGUCCUCUCUUCUCACCUAUGACCCGGCUGAACAAGCAAUUGUUUUAACUCAAAAUAUAUCGUCGCAAUGCAGGGAUUGAUACAAUCUUUUCUUAAUUAGAUUUAGCUGAAUUGUAGUUGAGAUGCAAAUAACUUCAUUUAUUUAAUUUUAUUGGAGAAAUAUUGUGUAAUGCUACUGUACCCAACCUCUUUUUUUAAUUUAUUUUUAUGUUGAUACACUGAUUCACCAUUGAUGAACACUUUCCUUCAGACUUGGAUACGUGGAGCCCGCACAGAAGUGCAAAAUGUAUGUUUCUAUAUGUAAGAAGGGCUGCAAUGUUUUUGAAGAUUUACAUGUUGAUGCAUGGUAUGCUGAAAGGAUUUUAGUAGAAUGGUAGUGGUGCAGGUGUGUUCGGUAACCUGUUUCUCACUUCCAUUUUUUGGAUGUGUGGGAUGCAAAAACGUGAUAGGGGUAUGGGUGAAGGAUAACUGACUUUAGUUUACUUUUGGUAAGGGGUUGGGCUGUAAUGUAUUAAAUUUUAAGUAUAGAAAGGAAGAGAAAAUUUCAGGAUGACAUUGUUUUCAUUAAAUUGAACGGGGGCAAAGUUUUGGGAGAACUCUUUGGAUUUGCGUUAGAAGUGUGGAUGUAGAGUUUGGAAUUUCUGGAUGGUGUGAGUGUUUGAUUGCAUCUAUAGUUUAUUGUCUAGUUGGCAGUUUGUGGUACACUGAAUAGUUUUUAACGGCUGCUUUAGUUGGGUGGCAGGUCUACCCUUUUCUGAGAGCAAAGUUAUUGGUCUGGGUCCUGGGGUGUCCUCAUAUUAAAUCGUGAGGGGCAUUAGGGGGUUGGAGAUCCUGUAAAUCAUGGGAAUGAGGUAAACACAUACAUCUAGAGCAUUUAGUCCUUUUUAAGAUGUCUGUAGCUCUGUAAAAAAUGUCAAGGUGUGGCCUUUAUGUUGGUGUUGAUCUGAAGGUGUAUUUGUGAUGUGAGAGUAACCAAAAAGGAAAGUCAAGUCCAUAACCAUUAUAUGGGCUACCUUUAUUUUGGGCAUUGGUCAGGCACAUAUUUUGGGCAUUGGUCAGGUUAGGAGUAGUUAAGUCAUUAUAGGAGUUAUAAAAAGUUAGUAUUUAGUUAGAUGUUUCUAUUAUGGGUACAGUUUCGAAAUUCUAAGAAUUCUAUGUUGACUUGGGUUACUAUUCCUUUUUCUGUUCUGAACUUCCAAUCGACCCAUUAGUAGCUUAGAAACUCUUUAUUUUGUUGUAUUCUAAAUUCUAUAUGUAUAUAUGUUUUACAAUAUUAUUAUAAAGGGGCAAGUUUAGAAGAUUCAUGUUAGGCUUUUUGUAUUUUAUUAAAUAAAGGGAAAACUGGAAAUACAAAAGUGUACAAAGGGGACGAGAAGUCCACCAAGAAAAGGAAACAGACAACACAAGAUAACAAAAUAUAUAUGAUGCAUUUCUCCAAUCCAAUCUUUACUAACCAAAAACAAAGGAAUUUCCUUGAAACCAAAUUGUUGCUGGAACCCAAAAGGAUUUUAUUCAAUAAACCCCUCCUUGUCUUUGGACAUUUUCUAAUUUCAAGAGUUUGCUGAGCCGCACUGUCCCUUUUAAUGGGGGUUUGAAGAUCAAAAUCUUUACAUUUCUUUCUAACAAAAUUACUAGAAACACUGCACAAGUUUCAUAUCCUUAAAGAACCUGGUCUUUCUUACCAAGGCCAAACCCCUCAAAAUCUAUCAAAAUCAUCUAAAUGCAACAAUGUUACAUUGACUAUUUUAUUUCCUCCAAAGUGCUUGUGUCCACCAAAUAUAACAAGGGUAAGGAUGUGGGUUAUGUGUCCGACAGUUGGAUCAAGUUUUUACGAUAUUUGAAGUACUCACAUUUGUUAGUAAAGAAACAAUUCUAGCCUCUCACACGGAUGAGGGAUAGAAAAUUUAUGUUCUCUGAAUCAUAUUUAAUUUCAAGUACAUUUCUACAUGAUUUACAACAUUCUAUUAAGAAUACUAUACAAUAUGCAAUAUAUAUAUAUAUAUUAGUGUCUAUGAUGUGUCCCCAUGCCUAUAUCUGACUUUUGGAUACAUAUCUACGGGCACAACUUGGGGGGGCCUAACUUGAAGUAUCUGAGCCAGCCUGAAAUUUUUUAGGGCUUGGGUAACAUAUUUAUGAAUUUAGUGUGAACUUGGACAAAAAUUUAAUAGCCCAAAUUAAAUUUGAAUUUGGGUUUGGGUUUGAGCAAAGACAUCCUGAAGCCCAAAUUAUACACAUAGAUAUAUAAAAAUAUUAAAUACAUAUAUAUAUUAUUAGCUAUUGGAUGAUUUUAAAAUAAGUUGGACCUUUAGAUCAUAUUCGCUAUAUAUUUUCCUCACACUCAAAAAUGACAAAGACCACCACAGCGGUGCAACUGUUGAUUUGCAUCUCUCAUUUUCUGUCACUCUCAUCAGAUACAAGUGGGGUUGGUGGUCAGGCUUGGGCAACUCUUUAAACAACUUGGGUUUUGCUUGGUAAUUUUUCAACUCAACCAAACUUGCCCGAGUUGCACCCUUAUAUAUAUCCUAAUAUCUUGAGAUUUAGGUUUCCAAAGGUUUUUGAUGCUUGGACACACAAUUGCAUUCAAUACUCAUACCCUAUGUUACCUAGAACCUAUGUUACAUGGACUCGGGUACGAGUAUCGGGUGGAGGUGUGUAUCUAAACGUUGGACCUUCUUAAAUUUAAAUCUUGGGAUAAGUAUCCAAAAUUGGAUAUGGGUAAAGGGACACGCCGUAUGCACAUAUAUAUUGCAUUGUAUAUAGUAUUCUUGGAUGAGAUGUUUUAAAUUAUGUAGAAAUAUAUUAGAAAUUAAAUAUGGUUCAGGAAAAUUAUGAAAUUUUUAUAUAUAAUUUAUGUGAGGCUAAAAAUAUUGUUUUACGAACAAAUGUGAGUUUCUUCUUCUUCUUCUUCUUCUUCUUCUUCUUCUUCUUCAUGUAUUGUUACAAAUUGAAGGAUCUGAGUGUCUAAAUUGGGUAUGAGUGUUAAACACAUAUUCCACACCCUUACCCUUGUCAUAUCUGGUGGACACAGGUGUUGUGGGGGAAAUACAGGUGUUGUGGGGGAAAUGAAAGAGUCCUUGUAACACAGCCUAGAACGUGGAUCGUUCCGGUAUAUGGAACGGGUCUAAAAUGUGGUAUGAUAGGAGUACACUUAUAUAUAUUAAACUUAAGAAUUUAAAAUACUUUUAGAGUAAUUUUUUUUUUAAAACUAUUAGGUAUCCAAUAUAUAUAUGUAUAUUUCAUGUAAUAUAUCAUUUUUAUGAAAAUUAGGACCCAUUUUUGAUGUCUUUGUCUUGUUAAAACUUAAUUCACCUUAGAUUUUAGUUCAUAUAUUUGAUUUUUUGUCUCUUAAGGUAAUAUUUAAGGAAAUAUAUUGGAAAAAAAAUUUGGUAUCGCUUCAGGCCACUAAAUUUACCGUUUUGGAAUGAAAGUAUACCAUGUUUCGAAACGUGCAUAUCAAUACAUAAUUCACUAGGGUAUUAUUGUUUUCAGGUAACAUAGCUCUUACCUAAGGCUGCAAAUGAACUGUGCUGUUCAUGAACAACUCGAGCUUGACUUGUUUAAAGCUCGUUUGAGCUCGGUUUGUUUACUAAAUGAACGAGCUUGAGUUUGAUUUUUAGGCUCGUUCAUUAUUCGAGCCGAGCUCGAGUAGCUCUAAGCUUAACUCGAUAAGGCUUGUGAACGUAAUGAUGUGAACGUAAUGAAAAUAAAUUAAUAUUUAUUAUUAAUAAUAUAUCAAAUAAAAUUCAUUAAUUUAUUUAUUUUUCUGUUUGUGUUUGGUGUUUAUGUAAAUUUAUAUAUUUGAUUGAUGAAAUUUAUUAUUAAUAUAAACAUGCUUGUAUAUUUUGCUUAUAAUUUUUUUAUUUGUUUAAUCUUAAUAUGUAAAUUAGUUUAAGUAUAAUUGUUUUUUUCCUAGCUCGAGCAGCUCAAACUCGGCUCGUUUAUGUAAUUGAGCUAGCUUGAGCCGAGCUUGAGUUUCUCAAAUAUUUGACGAGCCAAGCUCAAGGUAAUUUAUUUAAGCUCGACCUGAGCUUGGCCCAACCAAGCUCAAUUAAUUAUUAGUAAACAAGCUUGAACACUCAAAAGUUUGGCUCAGCUCGUUUGUACCCUAUUGUACCUAAGUCCCUGUAGCAUAACUAGUCUACCCAUCCAAAAUCCCACUUUGGUGGUUCCAAGAUUUAGCUAGCUGCCUUUGACACUGCAUUAGGUGGGGUCCCACAUUCAUUGAAAAAUUACAACAGUUAAGUACUGGUAUCAGACAUUGUAUGCCCAAAUAAAUACACCUAUAAUCCCUAGGACUUGUAAUAAGAUAAAAUGGAUGCUUCAGCAAUUCUAUUAUAUUUGUAAGUUUCACAUUCCAAUUUCCAUGAGCAAAGAAUUAAAUGAACCCAACCCCGCUCAUUAAAAUUUUUCAACCUUAGAGGUUGAAAAAAAAACCAAUCCUUCUAGUCUGUCAAGUAGAAUCUGUUCAAUACACAAAUCUGCUUUAAAAAACAUUAAAACAAAAAAUAAAAAAACAAACAAAACAAGAACAAAAACAUGAAACAAGAAAUAAAAUAAUCCUAUGACCAGUUGCACAUGUUCUUGAUUCAAAUUAAGAAAUAUUUCCUUGUGUACGUGCAUGGGCCCGACCUUGCUACAUGGCAUCGCCUCAUCACUAACACAUAAUGUGUCAGCUUCAAUCGACAACAAGUGAACCAAUCAGCAACCUGAAAGCUAUUGUUGUGCUUGGCCUUGUUAGAUUUGUGAGGCGCUCGGUCCAACCUUUGAGUAGGAAACUCUUCUUUGGGUGACAUUUUUUUACUCAAAAACUCAAUUCCGCGCUUUUAAUUUUCGAGGAAAAACAAAACUCACUUCCUUCGAGGAAGAAAUUCACUCCCAAUUGAGAGAGAAUGUGUUACAUAUACAAAUCUCAAAGAAACAAAGAAAAACAACUCAAAUUCAUUCUAAUACUUUCUAUUUACAUAAUAUCUGUUUAUAUUUAACAAAGACAAGUUAUAGUUGACAUCUAUUUCUAGUAUUUAUUCAUAUUUUAACACAUAUAUUACAACUAAGUAGAAAAAUAAUUGUUGCUAUAUGUUUAUAUAUUUGAUAUAUAAGUAUAUACAUGAUCGUAUAGGUGCUCAUAACUUCAGAAACUUCUAUAUGCCCACACCCUUGCCCCUGCUCCUGCUCCCACUUCAUGCAACUAAGGUCAGCCUGGUGGGUUGCUCACCGAGCAAGACCUCAACCUUAAAGACAACAUGGAUGUGUUUCCUAGGCUGGAAGUAGGGCCUGGGCACCCUGCUAGAGGAUUUGUGAAUUGAAGACUAGAGUUCAGGAUUGUCUGGAUGCUCUCGCUGAGCUCCCCUCUCAGAAGUGUGGCACGCUCAGACCAAUCCAAAACAUGUGAUACCUUGGUGAUUGUAUCAUGCCUAUCUCUGAAUCACACUGCUAGUGACCAAUAAGAAUGUAUCAUACUUAUACCAGUUCACUUAUGAUACGCUCCCGAAAGUUACAAAGUUAAUCAAGUUGCCCUCCAUUUUGCCUACGUAAGGGGGUUGUGCGAUGUGUUCUCAAAUGAGUUGGCUCCCCUAGGCUCGUCACCCGAUAUAAAAGGAACCUCCAUGCAUGUACAACAAACUCAAGCAUCCCUGCUCUUCGGCGUAUCAAAUUUCCACUGCCACUCUCCCUCUCUGCUAACGCUACCCUUGGCUCUCUCCUCUACCACGUCCAGUGACCUCCUAUCAUACCAAUGUUUGCCAUCUUCCCGAAGGGCACUCCUCAGCCAACUCAUGCCACAUCACCCACAUACUUACUAAGGACAAGGAAACUCUAAUCACAAGAAGCUCUUUCUCCUGCCAACCUCAUAACCACAGUGCCACACAAGAAAAACCCACCAUUAGAAUGUGAUAAUAUGUGAUAACCCAUGCAUUUACAAUGAUGGUCCAUUUUAAGGAAACAUUAGCACUUAUUCCAACACAAGUAUAUUAGAGUCAUGCAUUUAAUACUAGUCCAUCACCAAGUCAUAAUUAGUAGCAACAUUUUAAACACAAUGCAUUAGAAGUACAUAUUGGCCUUUAAAGUGCUUAAUACACCACUGAAUAUUAGAACCAAAAUAAAGAUUGAAGCCCUUGCUAAUUGAUACAGGAUAGCCUUGAUAUGCCCUAUCCUCGGGACGAACUAUGUGGAAGGAGUGGUGGGACUAAAGACAAAAUAAUAGAUUCCAAAACUUUGGUUCAGAAGUUGAUGGCAAAAGUGCUUCUAAGUUUUUAACAGACCUGUAAUAGCAGAAAUUCAAUAAAUUAGCUGAAGAGGUGGGCACACUGGAGGGAUGAAAAAAUAAAAGGAAUGCAAAAAGUAUUCAAAGUAAAAACUAAUUUUUUUACACUUUUUCCUUGCCAUUUCUUUUCCCUCCUCAAAUUCACGAUUCAAACAAAUCAUUAAGGGCCACCCAAUUAUUUUUCAUAUUAUACAUUUUCCUCGACGUUUUAAUCUUUGGUCAUUGUUCAUAUGAUAGUGGAACCUUGUCUUUUUAGAACUACCAACAUUACUUUACCAUUUUGAUGUGUAUAGCAUAUGGGAUAUAAUUCAAACUUCAUUGCUUGAUGUCCCAGCCUGCAAUUAGAUUGUCAUGUUGUCAUUUUCAGAAAACUAGAAAAAUAUUGAAAUUAUUGUUUACAUGUUUGGCCUACAAAUACUUAUCCUCAACUUUUAGGUUUAGUUUGGAUGGUAGGAAGUUUGAGGGGAGAAUAGGAAUGUGAUUUGGGGUUCCCAAGAUUCUAUCAUGUGGAUUGGAGUGGAAUUAAAAAUGAUUCCUGAUUAUUUAUCAUGCUGGAAUUCACUUCUCCAAACAAAGCAAGAAUCUAAUCCCUACAAUCUCCAUUGUAAUCUCCCAUACUUGAAGGAAUGUGAGUAAAAAAAGUAAUAGGUCCACAAUAUUUAAUAUUUUGUCAUUUAUUACUGGUAAUGAGAUUUUUCAUUUGUUUAUUUUUUGAUUUCUGCCAUCCAAACCUAGUUUCAGUGUUGCUACACAUUUUUUCUAUGUGAUGUUGGUCUUCUAUGUUGUCAACAUGUCUAUUUGAGCAAGUUUGGUCACUUUUGUUUCAAAAAUCAUUUUUAUGGGGGAAAUGGGUUUCAAGAAAUCAUGUUUUCUUACUUUUCCCCCCAUUAUCUAUCUAUUUAUUUUGUAUUAUUUAAUUGUUUUUUAUCCGAGUGCUAUUGAUAAUGCCAUGAAGUCCCAUCCGUUGAACCCCAAAUGCUGGCCCAUGGUGGGGUGGUGGGUUUGAGACCCUUGGAUUAGAGGGGAUUCAAAGGGAGAGUUGGAGGGGAGGAUGAUCCAGUUUAGGGCAGGCCUUUUCAGUGCGGGGGCCUCUAUGGCAGUUUCUUCUGGGCAGGAAGUUGGGUGAAUGGACCCCUAUCAAUGGGUAAUGGAAAAGGUUUAAAGGACGGCUAAUUUCUUGAGUUCCUGUCGAGGGGUUUGAAAAUGAUGCAUUGAAGCUGAUAAUGGCAAAUCAAACGAAAACGAUGCCAAAGAUUGAUGAUGUGACUGCAAGGAGGAGCGGGUGAAGUAAUGCUAGAUGUUGGAAAGAUUUAGCACGGGUCAUGUUUUGCUAUAAAUUGAAGUAAAGUUGGUUACUUGCCCUUGAAUCAUUGUAUUUAUUGGAACAUUACUAUUAUAUUUUUAAAUUAUAGAUUAAACCAUAGGUGGUUGGUUCUUAUAACUGAACAGUGUUUGCUUAUU